rnacentral:lncRNA from 1 species
UGUGUUUUGUCACACCCUAAAAGUAGUGGAUCCAAAAAGGUGAAUAAGGUAUGUAUGUAUGUAAACUAUUUGGCGCACUAUGGUAGUAUAAUCUGCCACCUUGCUAACUUACUGGCGAGUUAGAGCAUUAGCGUAUACUAGCGUUAAAGUAUCCGCCCGUUUGUGGUGUAUAAGGAUUUGAUAUCAGGUUAUCUUAAAGUGAAGAAAGAAUAUGCACAAAAAUGGAUACGCCUAAGAAAGAGUACGCCUCAGAGUCUUGGUGUGGCACAACUAGCCUACCAAGUCUAUGAGAAUGUUGUAGAAAACAUAAUUGUCUUUGAAGCCACGCCAUACGCGAGUCAUCGCCAAAGUAUAGUACACUCAGUUAAACUCUACUAUAAGGUUAAGUUACCAUGGAACUCACUAAGUUCUUAUGAACUUACUUAGUUUUCUUCUUAUUAUUUUCAAGCUUUUAGGUUGGACGUGUUGUUGAAGGG